rnacentral:misc_RNA from 1 species
GGCAUAUACCUCAAAACUCACAAAAAUUGCCAUUUGAGACAUCUCAAUGUUGCAAGUGGUUUAACUUGCAAGGCGAUGCCUCAAAAUAAAGCCCACUCAGUAACUCUUUAAUCAAGAUUUUGAUCCCCGGAAAUCUAUAAGCAACAAGUUCCAAAAUUUUUACUAUUAUGGAUUAUUACAAAGGGUACUCACUUAUGAGGUAGGACACUUCCAAAA